GACGCCUUCCCCCGUUUCCCGAAAAUGUCCUUCCCCCUUAAUCAAAUACCGUCUCCUGCGUUAUAUUUAGUUUCCUCUAUAAUCCUAAUUAGAGAGAGAAGAGAUCAUUAAACAGGGAGCCUGCCUGAUAAUAAGAGGGCGAGAGAGAGUGAGAGAUGCGAUGAGUGGCUGCUUCUGGGCUUUCGCCUUGUUCUGCGACGUUGUCUCCUUUGCUCUACCCCACUCUACGUUAUGGCCACGAUCCGGGAAAGAGAGAGGAAGAGAGGAGAGGGAGUGGGG
rnacentral:lncRNA from 1 species